rnacentral:piRNA from 1 species
UACUUAAGUAUGAAUGGUUGUCGCGAC